rnacentral:rRNA from 1 species
UACAGAGGGGGGCAAGCGUUGUUCGGAAUUACUGGGCGUAAAGGGCGCGUAGGCGGCCCGCUAAGUCGAACGUGAAAUCCCAGAGCUCAACUCUGGAACUGCCUUUGAUACUGGGUGUCUAGAGUAUGGAAGAGGUGAGUGGAAUUCCGAGUGUAGAGGUGAAAUUCGUAGAUAUUCGGAGGAACACCAGUGGCGAAGGCGGCUCACUGGUCCAUUACUGACGCUGAGGUGCGAAAGCGUGGGGAGCAAACAGG